AUGGCGCACGAUCUCAAAAUUUGGGCAACGUCUCUCUUCAGCGAUGCAAAGAUUCAGUUUCAGUUGGCCUGCGAAGUAAUCCUAAGACUCGAUAUUGCUCAAGAAAAAAGAGGUCUGACGCAACAAGAAUUCUGGCUAAGGAAACAGUUGAAACUUCGUACCCUUGGAUUGGCUGUAGUAGAAAGAGCAAGGAAAAGACAGGCUUCAAGGAUUACCUGGCUCAAGGCGGGAGAUGCAAGAAUGGCCUUCUUCCAAGCAAAGAUCAACUCUAGAAGGAGAAAGAACUUCAUUCACUCACUGCAAACAGAAACAAGGACAUCCACUGCGCACGAAGAAAAGAAAGAAAUUGCUCACGAUCAUUUUGCAAACCUGCUGGGGAAAAAGGAGGAUAGGCAAUGCACCAUCAACUAGGAGGAAUUGGAUAUGCCAAGUAUUCAUAACGAGGGGCUGGAUAAUCCUUUCUCGGAG
rnacentral:rRNA from 1 species